rnacentral:rRNA from 1 species
GACGAUGGCCAGAGCACCCUGAACGCGCGGGAUCUUGUCUGAUCUCGGAAGCUAAGCACGAUCGGGCCUGGUUAGUAUUUGGAUGGGAGACCGUCUGGGAAUACCUGGUGCUGUAGGCA